GGCUUGGACCAAGGUGAUGGUCCUGGAGACAAAGAGAAAUUUGCAGCUUUCAGAUGUGUUUUUACAUGGAAGGAAGAACUGACCAGACAUGCUGAUGGGCUGAACAAGAGGAAUCCAGCCUAAGGAGACAGUCAGAAGUGCUCACCAAGAUUCAGAGGUUCUUCAUUGCCUUACCAUAUUUGUAAGUCACAAACUGGAAGCUACCACAGGGUCCAGCCUUAUGAGAGUGGUGCAGUCAAUCCCAGAUCUUCCAUAUGACAGGGAGCUGGUCAUCCUUCAAAGUGCUGCUUACUAAGAUGACAAUGAGACUGGAAAAUUCUCAUUAAAUAAACAAAUGGCUGGCAGGGAGUUUUUCAGCUGCAAAGAGCGGUGGAGUUCCUCUCUCCCAGCCCACUCAUAAUUCGGCUUAUGUGCAGAAGGCAGAAGACCUUCCCAAGGGUACACAAUGCUUCUGUAAAUAGCAGUUUAUAGACUUCAGCAGAAGAACCAGAAGCAAACAGAGGAAGUGAAAAUGACCACUAGAAGAAAAACUGAUGACAGAAAAACAAAAUCAAUUAGACUUUAUCUUUAAAAAAAUCAACUAUGACUUUAAUUGAUUUCAAAUAAAAUAUUUCGAUCUUUAUGAGAUACAUUAGAUCGUUGAAAGUCAUGCUUACA
rnacentral:lncRNA from 10 species